GAGCUCAGCAGACAGACGGCAUCAUGGUGAGAUCUGAUGAGAUGUAAGAAAUGACUCCAAACAGAUUUCAGCCUCACACAUGAUGAACACAUGAACUACACAAUGUGCUCCACCAUGAUGAUUCCUCUGACAGUGCUAUUGCUUUCAACCUUCAUGGGUAAGAGUACUGGAAGCCCUAUUGCUCCAGACACUGUAGAGAAGUAUGCUACAGAAGGAGAACAUGUUCAGCUCUCCUGCAGGUACAAUGGAACUGUUUACGGUUUGCACUGGUAUCGCCAGUUCACUGACGCAGUACCACAGUUUCUCAUUCUGGAUUAUCAAGGUACUAUCACCAAAGCAACUCCUCCUGUUCCUGGGAUAUCAAUUAGACAUGACAAGACAGCAAGACAAGUGUUCCUGGAGAUUUCACCUACUGAUGUGUCAGACUCUGCUCUUUACUACUGUGCCAUGGAGCCCACAAUGUCAGGAAAUCCAGCUGCACCCAACAAAAACCUCACAGCCAAGUUGAAUGGGAAUUGCGCUAGACUCAUACAAAUACAGUGA